rnacentral:rRNA from 1 species
GACGAACGCUGGCGGCGCGCCUAACACAUGCAAGUCGAACGAGCGAGAGAGAGCUUGCUUUCUUGAGCGAGUGGCGAACGGGUGAGUAACGCGUGAGGAACCUGCCUCAAAGAGGGGGACAACAGUUGGAAACGACUGCUAAUACCGCAUAAGCCCACGGUGCCGCAUGGCACAGAGGGAAAAGGAGCAAUCCGCUUUGAGAUGGCCUCGCGUCCGAUUAGCUAGUUGGUGAGGUAACGGCCCACCAAGGCGACGAUCGGUAGCCGGACUGAGAGGUUGAACGGCCACAUUGGGACUGAGACACGGCCCAGACUCCUACGGGAGGCAGCAGUUGGGAAUAUUGCACAAUGGGGGAAACCCUGAUGCAGCGACGCCGCGUGGAGGAAGAAGGUCUUCGGAUUGUAAACUCCUGUUGUUGGGGAAGAUAAUGACGGUACCCAACAAGGAAGUGACGGCUAACUACGUG